AGUUUAUAUUAAAAAAAAAAAUUACCCGAAGAAUAGUUGGUUAAGACUUGCGAUUACAUAGGUUAAUCCACGGUAUUCAUUGUACCGGUGUUCAAAAUAAUUUUAUUAACUGGUGGACAAUUUAAUGUAAAAAACUUUUCCAUUGAAUUAUGGUUUGUGGUUUUCUUCUUAUUCACUAUACAUUCUACUAUACAAGGAAAUAUACAUAUAUAUUAUGGAUGUCAAAUUUAUUCGGAUACUCUAUUCGAAUAGAUAGAGCUUUUAGUUUGUUUUGAAAAUGUUUAGGACAUGUUUUUUCCAAACACAAUAAUGCUUCUGCCACAAACAACCAAUUUAUAGAUAAUGGAUGAUUAAUAAC
rnacentral:misc_RNA from 1 species